AAUUCGAUUGAGUUUGAUCAUGGCUCAGGAUGAACGCUGGCGGCGUGCUUAACACGUGCAAGUCAAGGGGGCCCAGCAAUGGGCAACCGGCGAACGGGUGCGUAACACGUGAGCAACCUACCCAGGUGUGGGGGAUAGCCGUCCCAACGGACGGGUAAUACCGCAUACGCUCUUCUUUAGGCAUUUAGAGAAGAGGAAACCUUCGGGGCACCAUGAGGGGCUCGCGGCCUAUCAGCUAGUUGGCGAGGUAACGGCUCACCAAGGCUACGACGGGUAGCUGGUCUGAGAGGAUGGCCAGCCACAUUGGGACUGAGAAACGGCCCAGACUCCUACGGGAGGCAGCAGUGGGGAAUCUUGCGCAAUGGCCUAACGGCUGACGCAGCGACGCCGCGUGAGGGAUGACGCUCUUCGGAGUGUAAACCUCUUUUGCCCGGAACGAAUUGCCACCAUCAGGUGGCUUGACGGUACCGGUUGAAUAAGCACCGGCUAACUCCGUGCCAGCAGCCGCGGUAAUACGGGGGGUGCGAGCGUUGUCCGGAAUCACUGGGCGUAAAGGGCGCGUAGGUGGCGUGAUAAGGGUGUGGUGAAAGCCCGGGGCUCAACCCCGGGUCUGCCAUGCCGACUGUCAGGCUCGAGUACUGUAGGGGCAGGCGGAAUUCCGGGUGUAGCGGUGGAAUGCGUAGAGAUCCGGAGGAAGACCGGUGGCGAAGGCCGCCUGCUGGGCAAUUACUGACACUGAGGCGCGACAGCGUGGGGAGCAAACAGGAUUAGAUACCCUGGUAG
rnacentral:rRNA from 1 species